rnacentral:rRNA from 1 species
GCGAUCAUACCAGCCUUAAUGCACCGGAUUCCAUCAGAACUCCGAAGUUUAGCGUGCUUGGGCGAGAGCAUCACUAGGAUGGGUGACCCCCUGGGAAGUUCUCGUGUUCCACCU